rnacentral:rRNA from 1 species
CCUACGGGGGGCUGCAGUGGGGAAUUUUGGACAAUGGGCGCAAGCCUGAUCCAGCAAUGCCGCGUGCAGGAUGAAGGCCUUCGGGUUGUAAACUGCUUUUGUACGGAACGAAACGGCCUUCUCUAAUAAAGAGGGCUAAUGACGGUACCGUAAGAAUAAGCACCGGCUAACUACGUGCCAGCAGCCGCGGUAAUACGUAGGGUGCAAGCGUUAAUCGGAAUUACUGGGCGUAAAGCGCGCGCAGGCGGUGAUGUAAGACAGUUGUGAAAUCCCCGGGCUCAACCUGGGAACUGCAUCUGUAACUGUUUCGCUUGAGUACGGGAGAGGUGGGUGGAAUUCCGAGUGUAGCGGUGAAAUUCGUAGAUAUGCGGAGGAACACCGAUGGCGAAGGCGAUCCACUGGCCCUGUACUGACGCUCAUGCACGAAAGCGUGGGGAUCAAACAGGAUUAGAUACCCUAGUAGUC